GGGGCCGUAGCUCAGCUGGGAGAGCGUCGGCGUGGCACGCCGAAGGUCACGGGUUCGAGCCCCGUCGGCUCCA
rfam:Actinobacteria bacterium 13_1_20CM_4_69_9 13_1_20cm_4_scaffold_2301, whole genome shotgun sequence.